rnacentral:rRNA from 1 species
CAGUCGCCGCGGUAAUACGAAGGGGGCUAGCGUUGCUCGGAAUGACUGGGCGUAAAGGGCGCGUAGGCGGCGGCCAAAGUCAGGCGUGAAAUUCCCGGGCUCAACCUGGGGGCUGCGUUUGAUACUUGGUUGCUUGAGUGGGGAAGAGGGUCGUGGAAUUCCCAGUGUAGAGGUGAAAUUCGUAGAUAUUGGGAAGAACACCGGUGGCGAAGGCGGCGACCUGGUCCUUUACUGACGCUGAGGCGCGAAAGCGUGGGGAGCAAACAGGAUUAGAUACCCCGGUAGUCCCUGUCUCUUAUAC